GAUGAACGCUGGCGGCGUGCCUAAUACAUGCAAGUCGAGCGAACAGACGAGGAGCUUGCUCCUCUGACGUUAGCGGCGGACGGGUGAGUAACACGUGGAUAACCUACCUAUAAGACUGGGAUAACUUCGGGAAACCGGAGCUAAUACCGGAUAAUAUAUUGAACCGCAUGGUUCAAUAGUGAAAGACGGUUUUGCUGUCACUUAUAGCUGGAUCCGCGCCGCAUUAGCUAGUUGGUAAGGUAACGGCUUACCAAGGCAACGAUGCGUAGCCGACCUGAGAGGGUGAUCGGCCACACGGGAACGGAGACACGGUCCAGACUCCUGCGGGAGGCAGCAGUAGGGAAUCUUACGCAAUGGGCGAAAGCCUGACGGAGCAACGCCGCGUGAGUGAUGAAGGUCUUCGGAUCGUAAAACUCUGUUAUUAGGGAAGAACAAAUGUGUAAGUAACUAUGCACGUCUUGACGGUACCUAAUCAGAAAGCCACGGCUAACUACGUG
rnacentral:rRNA from 1 species